rnacentral:rRNA from 1 species
UGAGGAAUAUUGGUCAAUGGACGAGAGUCUGAACCAGCCAAGUAGCGUGCAGGAUGACGGCCCUAUGGGUUGUAAACUGCUUUUGUUUGGGAAUAAUCGACAUUACGUGUAAUGUUUUGCAUGUACCAUUCGAAUAAGGACCGGCUAAUUCCGUGCCAGCAGCCGCGGUAAUACGGAAGGUCCAGGCGUUAUCCGGAUUUAUUGGGUUUAAAGGGAGCGUAGGCUGUUUGUUAAGCGUGUUGUGAAAUGUAGGAGCUCAACUUUUAGAUUGCAGCGCGAACUGGCAGACUUGAGUGCGCACAACGUAGGCGGAAUUAAUGGUGUAGCGGUGAAAUGCUUAGAUAUCAUGACGAACUCCGAUUGCGAAGGCAGCUUACGGGAGCGCAACUGACGCUAAAGCUCGAAGGUGCGGGUAUCGAACAGG